GACGAACGCUGGCGGCGUGCCUAAUACAUGCAAGUCGAACGCAGUGGGGACGGGUGAGUAACACGUGGGUAACCUCCCAUCAGAGGGGAUAACACUUGGAAACAGGUGCUAAACCGAUAUUGAUGGAUGGACCCGCGGUGCAUUAGCUAGUUGGUGAGGUAACGGCUCACCUAGGCGACGAUCCCUAGCCGGCCUGAGAGGAUGACCAGCCACACUGGAACUGAGACACGGUCCAGACUCCUACGGGAGGCAGCAGUGGGGAAUAUUGGACAAUGGGCGCAAGCCUGAUAGAGCCACGCCGCGUGUAUGAAGAAGGUUUUCGGGUUGUAAAGUACUUUUAUCGGGGAGGCGGUACCCGCAGAGGAAGCACCGGCUAACUCCGUGCCAGCGGCCGCGGUAAUAC
rnacentral:rRNA from 1 species